rnacentral:rRNA from 2 species
GUGACCUCAAAUCAGGUAGGACUACCCGCUGAACUUAAGCAUAUCAAUAAGCGGAGGAAAAGAAACUAACAAGGAUUCCCCUAGUAACUGCGAGUGAAGCGGGAAAAGCUCAAAUUUAAAAUCUGGCAGUCUUUGGCUGUCCGAGUUGUAAUCUAGAGAAGUGUUAUCCGCGCUGGACCGUGUACAAGUCUCCUGGGAUGGAGCGUCGUAGAGGGUGAGAAUCCCGUCUUUGACACGGACUGCCAGGGCUUUGUGAUGCGCUCUCAAAGAGUCGAGUUGUUUGGGAAUGCAGCUCAAAAUGGGUGGUAAAUUCCAUCUAAAGCUAAAUAUUGGCGAGAGACCGAUAGCGAACAAGUACCGUGAGGGAAAGAUGAAAAGAACUUUGGAAAGAGAGUUAAACAGUACGUGAAAUUGCUGAAAGGGAAACGCUUGAAGUCAGUCGCGUUGUCCAGGGAUCAACCUUGCUUUUGCUUGGUGCACUUUCUGGUUGACGGGUCAGCAUCAAUUUUGACUAUUGGAAAAAGAUUAGGGGAAUGUGACAUCUUUGGAUGUGUUAUAGCCCUUGGUUGCAUACAAUGGUUGGGAUUGAGGAACUCAGCACGCCGCAAGGCCGGGUUUUAACCACGUACGUGCUUAGGAUGCUGGCAUAAUGGCUUUAAUCGACCCGUCUUGAAACACGGACCAAGGAGUCUAACAUGCCUGCGAGUGUUUGGGUGGAAAACCCGAGCGCGUAAUGAAAGUGAAAGUUGAGAUCCCUGUCGUGGGGAGCAUCGACGCCCGGACCAGACCUUUUGUGACGGUUCCGCGGUAGAGCAUGUAUGUUGGGACCCGAAAGAUGGUGAACUAUGCCUGAAUAGGGUGAAGCCAGAGGAAACUCUGGUGGAGGCUCGUAGCGAUUCUGACGUGCAAAUCGAUCGUCAAAUUUGGGUAUAGGGGCGAAAGACUAAUCGAACCAUCUAGUAGCUGGUUCCUGCCGA